UACGUAGGUGGCAAGCGUUGUCCGGAUUUACUGGGCGUAAAGAGCGCGCAGGCGGUCGUUCAAGUCGCGUGUGAAAGCCCCCGGCUCAACUGGGGAGGGUCACGCGAUACUGAUCGACUCGAAGGCAGGAGAGGGUAGUGGAAUUCCCGGUGUAGUGGUGAAAUGCGUAGAUAUCGGGAGGAACACCAGUGGCGAAGGCGACUACCUGGCCUGUUCUUGACGCUGAGGCGCGAAAGCUAGGGAGCAAGCGGGG
rnacentral:rRNA from 1 species